rnacentral:rRNA from 1 species
GAUGAACGCUGGCGGCGUGCCUAAUACAUGCAAGUCGAGCGAACAGACGAGGAGCUUGCUCCUUUGACGUUAGCGGCGGACGGGUGAGUAACACGUGGGUAACCUACCUAUAAGACUGGGAUAACUUCGGGAAACCGGAGCUAAUACCGGAUAAUGUUUCGAACCGCAUGGUUCGAUAGUGAAAGAUGGAUCUGCUAUCACUUAUAGAUGGACCUGCGCCGUAUUAGCUAGUUGGUAAGGUAAGGGCUUACCAAGGCAACGAUACGUAGCCGACCUGAGAGGGUGAUCGGCCACACUGGAACUGAGACACGGUCCAGACUCCUACGGGAGGCAGCAGUAGGGAAUCUUCCGCAAUGGGCGAAAGCCUGACGGAGCAACGCCGCGUGAGUGAUGAAGGUCUUCGGAUCGUAAAACUCUGUUAUUAGGGAAGAACAAACGUGUAAGUAACUGUGCACGUCUUGACGGUACCUAAUCAGAAAGCCACGGCUAACUACGUGCCAGCAGCCGCCGUAA